rnacentral:lncRNA from 1 species
AAAACAUUAACAUAGAACAGGCUACCUGGUUCAAGGGAUCUCAAACAAGCUAAAUAGCUGCCAGAUAAUUGAAAAGUUAGGGAUGAAACGUACUCUAUAGUUUCUAUGAAUGUUGUACAGGAAUUAGAAACAUGACCGUCAUGUCUUCUCAAAUUAUUUAGAGUCCGGGAAAGUAUAGCCUCCUCAAGUAAUUCUUUUGAUCUCUG